UAUGGUUUUGCACUUUUUUAUUUUAGUACCCUAUGGUUUAAAGUGUAUCAAUUUAAUAUCCCAUGGUUUCAUUUUUCUCUUUUUAUUAUUCCCUCCACUAUUUUUUUUUUCAUUAGAUCGGUGACAAAGUUAAAACUAAAAUAUACUAAAGUAAAUAUUCGAUAAAUUUAGGUAGGGUAUCUGAAGUUUUUUGUAUAUAAUUUAAUAAAAUGUUAACUGAAGAGCUGUUGAAAAGAAAAAAAAAAAUAAACCACAUGGUACUAAAUUGAUACACUUUAAACUACAGGAUACUAAAAUAAGAAAGUGCGAAACUAUAGGGGUGGUAUUUGAAGUUUGUCCCUUUUUUUUUGAACUAUAUAAGCAUGCUUU
rnacentral:lncRNA from 1 species